GGGGCUGUAGCUCAGUGGCAGAGUGCUUGCCUUGCAUGCAUGAGGCUCUAGGUUCGAUCCUCAGCACCA
rnacentral:tRNA from 1 species